CUCAGAAAUAUACCAAAAUAUACCGUCUUAUUUUAAAAAUAUGCCGUAGAUAUACUAACGAAUUUGUUUUUGUCCGACCUGCCUCCGGAUUCCGCUCUGACUGGAACAACUUGUAGCGGCCUGUCCAACUCUUCUGG
rnacentral:sRNA from 1 species